CCAAGAAAGACAAUAGCUGGAAGCUAUCUCCAAAGAUGGUGUGAUUAGUUCCUUAGGUAAAGAUCCUGUGAAGCUUAUCCAUGAAGCACAAUCAGAUGGAGCUCUGGGCACAGAGUUGGGAACAGACACAAGCUGUUCCUGUAUGCUGCUGCCAUGGCAGCUCAUGGCCUGGUGAAUAGCACACCCUAGCAUGAGCCUCCUGUAUCAAGGGCUGAAAGUGGCUACCUACACCUGAAGAAGGGAGAGGGCAACUGAGACACUGGGCAACUGUUGUGGGUUUAUACAACUGCCAACCCCACAGGACAGGGGCACAUGGGGAGGCCCCCAAACAAGCUAUGACUUCUGCAACAAUCAUUUAACCCUUGACCCCAGUUCAAGUCUUUCCAGUCUGCAAGGAUUUGCUCAUGCAGAAGAGCUAUUAUGGCUUCACCUCACAGACACACUUGGGCCCAGUUGCUGCCUGUGCACCUCCUAUCAGUGUCACGAGGGCUGCUGCUGCUCUGUCAGGUGCAUGGUGAAUGCUUCAUAUCCUCCCAGGUUGAAAACUGACUUUUCCACCUUCUGGAAGACACCUUCCCUGUUAACAUCCAUCACCAUCCUGUACCAGGGAUGGCCUCACAGACUCCCACCAACUCUGAUCACAUCUCUACCUGAAGAACCAAGAUGGAUUUCAUGACGGGCAAAGAUGGAUAUGUGAAUGCGCCCACAGAAACUGGAGCCUCAGGUGACUUCAGACAGGACAGACUCUUUUUAUAACACAGAUUUCAAAUAGGUCCUGCACCCUACUUAAUUUUCUCCCAUGGAAACAGUAUCUUUAGAAUUGACCCAGAAGGCACAAACCAUGAGCGACUGGUGGUAGAUGCUGGUAUUUCGGUGAUCAUGGAUUUUCAUUACAAGAAGGAAAGAAUCUAUUGGGUGGAUUUAGAAAGACAACUUUUGCAAAGAGUUUUCCUGAAUGGGUCAAGACAAGAGGUUUAUAUUUUGGUCUUCAGAAGUGGACAGCAGUCUUCACAGAGCAGAUCUCAGUGGGGUGAAAGUGAAGACUCUAUUAGAGACACCAGAAAGAAUAACAGCUAUGUCCCUGGAUGUGCUCGAUAAACGCCUCUUUUGGAUUCAGGACAAUAGAGAAGGAAGCAAUUCUCAUAUUUAUUCCUGUGAUUAUGAUGGAAGGUCUGUCCAUCUGAUCAAACCUCCAACACGGUAGGUUUUUCCUUAUGGUUUAAAAUAAAACUAUUGUUAGCUGAAGUUUGU
rnacentral:lncRNA from 1 species